rnacentral:rRNA from 1 species
UACGAAGGGACUAGCGUUGUUCGGAAUCACUGGGCGUAAAGCGCACGUAGGCGGAUUCGUAAGUCAGGGGUGAAUCCCGGGCUCAACCUCGGAACUGCCUUGAUACUGCGGGUCUUGAGUCCGAUAGAGGUGGUGGAAUUCCUAGUGUAGAGGUGAAAUUCGUAGAUAUUAGGAAGAACACCGGUGGCGAAGGCGGCCCACUGGAUCGGUACUGACGCUGAGACGCGAAGCGUGGGAGCAAACAGGAUU